CCUCCCAUCCAUCGCAACUCUUCACUGCCACCCCUUCGCUCUUUCAAAUAACCCUCCAUUAAAUCUUCCUCCUUCACAUGCUAUAACCAUUCCUUUCUCCAGAAACCUCUCGAUCCUUUCUUUACUUUUUCCAUCUGCGAUCUUUCUCCUCUGGUUCCUCCACCGCAACGGAACAACGGCCCCGCCAUCCAACAAUUUCCUGAGCUUACUCUAGAAUGUAAAUUUAGAGAACUUAUGGAGAGUUAUUAGUAUACUCUAGCAGUGUGGUGAACAACUUCUAUGGCGGGGCAAGAAAAAGAAGGAGGGCAGGAGGUUGUAUGAUUUCAGACUGGUUGUUAUACAAGUCUGAAAACAUGUAUUAAGCACUGAUAAGGGUGGAAGUACUUCUAGCGGUGUUGGGAUCAACUGCAAAGUGAGGACGUGAGGGUUCAAAAGAGUUUGACAAAGAGGAUGCUGAGGAAGAAGCUGUGAAGACAUUGUUUCUAUUUCACGUGUAACAACUAAAGCAGUAUUGACUAUCCUCGACGCGGACGAGGACAGGGAUGACCAGAAAUACAUACAAAAUAUUGUUUACCAAAAAAUCUUUCAGAAUGCACGUGCAAUAACAGUGGUAGGAGAGGAGGUAUUUUUUAUAUUAUUAUAACAAAGUGCGAGAAAAACUGCCAUAUCUAACUUUUGUUAAUGACUCAUGCCCCUCAGAUAACUAACCAUACAAAUAGGAAUUUGUGACGGAGAUGCAAGGUGAAUGCCUCAGCACAUUACCACAGUUCAGUAUCUAAAUGCCAUAGCCAAACCUGAAAAUUCAUUAGCAGUUGCUAAUACAAAACUGAGAGUCCAGUAGCUUACACAAUUUAUAUUGUGCCAGAAUUUGUAAUAGCAACUGAAAUGAAAGACUUGCGUGUAGGUGUAACCAAUAGAACAACAACUGGAGCAACUUCACAAUGGAAGAUGAUUUUUGUGGUUCAUUAUUUGAAUCUUGUAAGCCGAAAGAAUAAUAUUAAGUUUGCAUAUCUGAGCUCUAUUAUGUAGCUUCUUCCUAUCGGUGAAAUUUACAUGAUAUGAAUCUACCACUGACUAAAAAGAUUGAUUUCUAAUUUUGUUAUCACUUUCAAUGAGAUUAGUUAUUCUAUGUUCUAACCA